rnacentral:misc_RNA from 1 species
UCUUUUUUUUUUUCAUCAGAAGAAGCUCCAUGAGUUUCUCUCAUCCUGUCUCAGCUUAUCAGCUUAGGGAGCAAGCAAUGUCAGGAAUAUCUCCUAGACAAAGAAAAUGUCAAGAAUCAAGAAGAAGAAUACAGAUGGCAUGUUUAACCCCACAUGAAGGCAUUCUGCUCACUGUAUCACAAAAAUGGGAGUAUCCACCAGAUACAUUGUCAGCUUCUCCUUUAUUAUGAAUGUCCUUUCCUUCCUUUUUCUAUUUUCCCCCCUCUAAAAGAAUCGAGUAUAUUGAAUGGAGAUGUAUGUGCAACGUGAAAGUGAGAAUUCAGAAUAUACAGCAGUCGAAAAUAUUGCAAUGGCAAAUUCAGUCUCAGAGCCUCGUGCGACCAAGUUAAUGAAUUAUUUAGAGCGACUGUGAAUCUCUUCAUUAAGAAGGGUUAUUAAGCCUCGAUCAACUGUUGGCUUAGUGUUGUUAAGAAUUCGACUCAGUGAGCAUAAUUCUUCUGGGCUUGCCCUCUUGAAUAAGCCUUGGAGUAUCGUAUCAACUCCCUCAGG